UUCGAAAUACUUGAUUAAAUUUUAAUUUUUAAUUUAAGUUCAAAUUAAAAUUUAAAAUUAUAUAUUUAAUUUUUAAAUUUUAAAUCAUAUUUUAAUUAAAAAAGUUGAAAAAAUAAAUUUAAUCCGAAUAAAUAUCCAUUCCGUCCGGAUUCAACUUCUAAUCCGGCCUUCUAGGCCGGAUUGAAAAAAGGGGUGAUUGAGCGAUUCUCAUUCCACUCGGGAAUGGAACUCCCACAUAUCAAACAUCCACAAAUGAAUUCACUCAUUCCCAUUCCGAUUCCAUGGUGAAAAAGAAGCGAACCAAACAUGCCCUAACAGUUAAAGUAUAUCUAAAUUGCACUAUUAGGAGCCCAGCAGUCGUUGCACUCUCAUAUUGUUAUAUAUCCAUCCACCAAAAUGAU
rnacentral:lncRNA from 1 species